GACAGAAUUAGCAACUUACCAAGUGAAGUUAUAAACAAAAUUUUGUUAUAUUUGCCAAUUAAGGAAGCAGUUAGAACAAGUGUUUUAUCAAGCAAGUGGAGGAACAAAUCGGCUAUGCUUUCUCAUCUUUUGUUUGAUGAUCGGUGCACCUCGGAUCAAAACCCUACAACCUUUACAGGCAUUGUUGAUCAUGUACUCUUGGGUCACAUUAGCCCCAUAUACAGGUUCAGGAUCACUCAUUCCCCACCUCUAGUCGGUGGAGAUAUUGAUCGAUGGAUUCUUCAUCUGUCAAGAAACUCUAUCAAAGAGUUGUUGCUUAAUAUCAAAUGUAGUGGGCAUCUCUACAAGAUGCCUUCAUGUUUGUUUUCUUGUCAAGAUCUCAUUUAUUUAGUGUUGUAUGAUUGUUUGCUACAACCUCCAUCCAAGUUCCAAGGAUUCAGGAGUUUGAAGACUUGUCGUCUUUUUAAUGUUACCCUGGACCAAGAUGUGCUUGAGAAUCUGAUUGUCUGCUGUCCUCUCCUUGAGAGAUUAACAUUGUGGCACUGUGAUGCAUUAACCCGGUUCAAGAUUGAUGCACCGAAUCUCAAAUUCCUUCAUUUUAAAGGCAUGCUUGAGGAUGUUAGUCUUGUGAAGACCUAGGAAAAGACCUAGGAAAACUUUGGAAGAGACUCUAAGAAAAGACUUAGAGUACUUGGAUCUAACGAAGGACAUGACACAGGACCGAGCACAAUGGCGUUCUAAGAUUCAUAUAGCCGAUCCUACUCAGUGACUUGGAUUUUCCAAGUCUCCAACCGAGAAGUUUUCCUCACUCGGAAAAUUAAGGGAACACUACCCCAACCUACAUGCUCCACUCAGAAAGCUUCAACAUACAAGCUUCAACAAAAGAAAAUUCAAAGAACUUAGCGAAGAAGGCUUUGGUGUAUUUAACACAAUACGUUGAAAUGAAGGAAAACUUAUUUAUUGAUAUCCCCGAUAAGCUACAAAUAUGUACAUAUACAUGAGUCAAAAUAAACAAACAAGAUGGAGCCUUCACAAAGGUUGCUUAGGAGAAGUCUCAGCAGUCGGUAGAGCCCCAGAAAGAGAAGACAUCGAAGGGGGAUCAUUCGGAGCCUCAGUAAUGGACAAAACCCUAGAAGGAGGAGGCAUCAGAGGUUGAUCAUUUGGAGCUUCAUUACGCGGUACAGCCCCAGAAGACGAAGGCAAUAAAUGCCUUUGGAACAAACCCACAAAUCUCUGAUGAUCAAGUAAAACCUGACCAUCAGUUUCCUUCAUCUGGUCAAGCUUCCUCUUCAUGUUUGUAGCAUAGUCAUGUGCGAGCCGGUGCAACUGUUUAUUCUCAUGCUUGAGCCCUCUAAUCUCCUGUUUGAGACUCAUCACUUCGGCCGCCAAUGAUUCAACUUGGCGGGUUCGAGCAAAUAGGCGUUGGGCCAUAUUAGACACAGAACCUGCACACUGAACACUGAGAGCCAGCGAAUCCUUAACAGCUAACUCAUCAGACCGUUUGGAAAGUAGCCUGUUAUCUUUGGGAGUGAGAAGGUUCCUGGCCACCACCGCAGCGGUCAUAUCAUUCUUCAUCACAGAAUCCCCAACGGUAAGAGGACCAGUAGGGGAGACGAAGGAUGGGCGCCAUAUGUUGUCUGGAGAAGGUGGGGCUGCCUCUUCAACAAGGUUCAAGUCAAAACGACGGUCGGAGGGGCCAGACAUUUUCAAAGGUGUUGAAGAGAGAAGAAGUCGGACAAAUCAAGAUCUUAGAAGUGCAAGAAUGGAGCUUCUACUGGUGGAGAUUCAAGUGUGCUUUGGAACUUAAUGCCAGCCCCUAUAAAAAGCUGCACUCGACGGAGCUUCAGACAUCGAAGAGGCGUCUGCUCAGAAAUCGAAAAGGCGUUUGCUUUCUCAAAAGCUGGGCUGCUUAGAGACCACGAGGGUGAUCUCAUAAAUCGAAGAGGUGUUUGCUUUCUCAAAAGUUGGGCUGCUCAAAGACCAUGAAAGCCGAUCUCAGAAAUCGAAGAGGCGCUCGCUUUCUCAAAAGCUGGGCUCCUCAGAGACCACGAGGGCCGAUCUCAGAAAUCGAAGAGGCACCUACUUUUCCAGCCUUGUCAGCACCUGUCACACGCACACUCAGCUUUGCGGAAAUUAUGGGUAUUCUGUCGAAGACUUCUGGGGAAAUAGAAAACACAUGAAUCUUACUGUCCAAUCACCCACUUCCCACACGCAACAAUAGCUCAUGGGUACCACAGAUAACUUUGCCAAAGUUGAGCACGUGAAGCUUGCAGCUCCACUACAUCGCUCUGACCAAGAAGGGUAAAAGAAUAUCAAAGAAACAGCACUAACAAAGUUUAGACCCAUAAAUUUUGAAGGUCUAGCUACCAUAUUAUUACCCACAAGGGUAAAUGAACAGUACCACUGCUAGAUAAUUGGAAAGUCCCUGUGUGUCAACCUCUGUGCCUUGUGGCAAGGUAGACUAGCAAACAUGCCCAACCUUUACUCACAUUUCGAGAAAACACUCCCAAUAAGAUUGCUUGCUCCAAAAUCGAAGAGGCACCGUCCUCCGAAUCUCGAGAGCUAGACUCCCAACAUGACUACUUUCUCAAAAAUCGAAGAGAGGGUAAAUGAACAGUACCAUUGCUGGAUAAUUGGAAAGUCCCUGUGUGUCAACCUCUGUGCUUCGUGGCAAGGUAGACUAGCAAACAUGCCCAACCUUUACUCACAUUCGAGAAAACACUUCCAACAAGAUUGCUUGCUCCAAAAUCGAAAAGGCACCGCCCUCCGAAUCUCGAGAGCCAGACUCCCAACAUGAUUACUUUCUCAAAAAUCGAAGAGACACUGCUCCCCGAAUCUCGAGAGCCAGACCCCCAGCAUGAUUGCUUUCUCAAAAAUCGAAGAGGCAUCGUUCUCCGAAUCAAUCGAAGAGGCGCUCGCUUUCUCAAAAGCUGGGCUGCUCAGAGAUCACGAGGGCCGAUCUCAGAAAUCGAAGAGGCACCUACUUUUCUAGCCUUGUCAGCACCUGUCACACGCACACUCAGCUUUGCGGAAAUUAUGGGCAUUCUGUCGAAGACUUCUGGUGAAGUCGAAAGCACAUGAAUCUUACUGUUCAAUCACCCACUUCCCACACGCAACAAUAGCUCAUGGGUACCACAGAUAACUUUGCCAAAGUCUGCCAAAGUUGAGCACGUGAAGCUUGCAGCUCCCACCACAUCGCUCUGACCAAGAAAGGUAAAAAGAAUAGCAAAGAAACAGCACUAACAAAGUUUAGACACAUAAAAUUUUGAAGGUCUAGCUACCAUAUUAUUACCCACAAGGGUAAAGGAACAGUACCACUGCUGGAUAAUUGGAAAGUCCCUGUGUGUCAACCUCCGUGCUUCGUGGCAAGGUAGACUAGCAAACAUGCCCAACCUUUACUCACAUCCGAGAGAAAACACUCCCAACAAGAUUGCUUACUCCAAAAUCGAAGAGGCACCGCCCUCCGAAUCUCGAGAGCCAGACUCUCAACAUGAUUACUUUCUCAAAAAUCGAAGAGACACUGCUCCCCGAAUCUCGAGAGCCAGACCCCGAGCAUGAUUGCUUUCUCAAAAAUCGAAGAAGCAUCGUUCUCCGAAUCUCGAGAGCCAGAUACCACAUGCCACUUUUUCAAAGUGCUCUGACAGAGUUAAAACAUGUGAAGCUGGCAGCUCCCACUACCGUGCUAUGACCAAGCAGGGUAAAGGAAUAGCAUUACUACUUGUUGUUAGGGAGACUCCUAUAUAUAUGUCGACCUCCAUCCCCAACGGACAGGCAGACCUGCAAAAAUGCUUAACCCUUCCUCAUAUCUGAGAGGGCACUCCCAACGAAGCCUUUCGAAAUAUUCAGCUUUCUUUCCCCCCGAUAAUACCUCUGCAAACAAGCUAUACUAGAGCAAGAAUAUCUCAUAUCAUCAGGGUUAAAAGCAAGAGUAUCCCAUAUCAUGCUUUUUCCCUGUCUUUUCCUUUGGCCUUGUUUUUACCUGCAAGACAAGGAGAAAGAGAGCAAUCAGUCAGCACUUGAAAUCAAGCUCCCAACCAGGAACUGACUGCCUGGAACCCCUUACCUGAUUACUUACCUGGCAUUGCUCUCGAGUACUCAUCUUCAACAUCUUAUGUUUCCAGGGAAGAUACCGCAUCUGCUUGAGGAACAGAUAGGGCAAGUGCGAAGGAUACAAGGAAGCAUGUGGAGACAAGCGUAACAGCACACGUGCCUAUACAUCCAUUACUCUGUCAAAAGCAAAAGUAUCUCAUAUCAGCAGGGUCGAACGUACUCUAGAUUUGAUGGACUUGUUUUGACCCUCAAAUUCUUCAGUCGGCCUUAUACUCUGGAGGAAAUCAGAAAACCCUCCAGCUCAGUUCAAGAAUAAGCCUGUGGAAAGCUACUUCUUCAAAGCAAAAGUAUCCCAUAUCAUCUCUUCUCAUUUUUCUUCUCUUUAUCCUUCAUGCUGCUGCAAGAUGGGGAGAAGGUGAACAAUCAGCCGGAGCUCUGAUUGCUUACCUUGUCUGUCACCUCUUUCAGCAGAUCCCCUAGCUCGGCGACUUGGGGGACUCCUACUACAUGGUUUGUAUCGCGCUUGACCAAGCCUGAAACUACAAGUAAGCUUCAAGUGAAAUUGAUACAUUACCUUGUGCAUCUCCACCAGUUAAAGAUACCACCCCUGGAUGGAGGAAGAGUACUUCCAGAGAAGCUGCCACAUCUACCUAUGAGACAGAUAAGGCAAGUCAAGAUGAUACCACACUCCGAUACUUAGAAGUUUCGUGAUUACGAGAUCAUUCUCCCACAAUAUUUCCUAAUGUCAUCUGUACUCUAAUGUCAUUUGUACUAAAUCAUUCACUUGUACUCACUAAAGGAGAGCUUAAACCUAUGUAAUUGUGUAAACCCUUCACAAUUAAUGAGAACUCUUCUAUUCCGUGGACGUAGCCAAUCUGGGUGAACCACGUACAUCUUGUGUUUGCUUUCCUAUCUCUAUCCAUUUAUAUACUUAUCCACACUAAUGACCGGAGCAAUCUAGCGAAGAUCACAAAAAGCGACCGUUUUCGCUACCUAGGAUCUAUCUUGCAAGAGAACGGAGAAUUAGAUGGAGAUCUCAACCAUAGAAUACGAACUGGAUGAUGAAGUGUAAGAGUGCAUCCGGCGUGUUGUGUGACCGUAAACAUCAACACGUACACAAAAUGGGUGUAGUGGAGAUGAGGAUGCUUCGUGGGAUGUGUGGGCACACGAGAAAGGAUAAGAUUGAGAAUGAGGAUAUCCGAGGUAAAGUAGGAGUAGCCGAAAUUGAAGGAAAGAUGAGAGAAAAUCGGUUCCGGUGAUUUGGACAUGUGCAAAGAAGGCCGACUGACGCUCCGGUUCGAAGAUGUGACUACGGGACAGAGGUUCAGGGCCGAAGGGGUAGAGGAAGACCUAGGAAAACUUUGGAAGACACUCUAAGAAAAGGCUUAGAGUACUUGGACCUAACGGAGGACAUGACACAAAACCGAGCGCAAUGGCGUUCUAGGAUUCAUAUAGCCGACCCCACUUAGUGGGAAAAGGCUUUGUUGUUGUUGUUGUUGUUGUUGUAUCUGCCUCACAUUCGAUGUCUUCAUGUCACAAAUUACUUUUCGAAGGUAAUGGAUUUUGUGGUUUCAUACUUUUCGAAGGUAAUGGAUUUUGUAUCUGCCGACAUUCACCUCUCCCAGACCCUGCGUAAAGCGGGAGCCUUGUGCACUGGGUACGACCUUUAUACUAUCAGUCAAUAAUCAGAUUUUGUGGCCAUCAGAAUUUGACUGUAAUUUCAUUAUCCUGUUUUCUGAACCUUUCUGUUCCAGUAUUUGGCCGUCGGAGUCUUGCCAGGAAAUCUACCUCAACCGUGUCUAUAUCUCAAUUUUUUUUCUAUACAUUUAAGCUUCAACGAUCUGAAAGAGAUUUUAACUGUUUUAUGUCUUCUGAGAAGCUUCCCUGCUCUACAGGAACUUGAAAUUUGGGUGAGUUUAUUGUAUUAUGUUGAUGCAUGCAUAUCCCGGUGUUCAAUUAAGAAUGUCAACCCAACUCUCUACGCUAAUUGUAUUUUACUGUUUAGAGAGCUGUUUUAUGUGAUGUUCAAGCAUCUGAUGAUAUAGACUUGUGCAGGCCCAGAAUGAGUACAAGGCUGUUGUGGGAGAAGUAAACUAUGGGUCGGAUGACAACCAGAAUUGCCAAUUGACCAAACUGCGAAUUGUCAAAAUAACCGGCAUCUUUGGUGUCAAAGCUGAACUAGAUUUCAUCAGGUUUUUGCUUUCAAGUUCACCUGUGCUUGAGAAGAUGACUGUGAAGCCUGCUGCUGCUAAUAAUUUUGAAGUAAAAAUGUUGCUCCAAAAGUUGCUCCAGUUUAAGCGUGUCUCGGCGAAUGCAGAGAUAUUCUACUUAGACCCUUGAUUCAUCAAUGAAACAUGUUUGGCAGAUACGAUACGAGGACUUGCCGGCAGAAACUGAAUGCGGGUUUUGAUAGUUUGGUACAAUUAUCUGCUAUGUAUGUGUCUUAUGUUUUGUCAAACGACGCCAAUAGAUAUCUCUUUUAUUCUUUUCCUAAUCUCAUGUUCAACUUGGACUAUGAUAUUAAAUUUUGACCCUAAGAUGUAUGAUGAAAUGUCUCGAGUACAAGAGAAGACUAAUUUGGAAGUACUUUUGGAAUGAAUUAAAAGCGCUUACAGAUGGCAAGAAGUGUUUUUGGCAACAUUUUGUUAAAAAAGGUUGAAAGUUAUUAAUGGAGAAGGGCCGCAUACGGUGGUUGUACGCAAGAACCUCUCCUGGAGUUGCUAAAUGAACAAUUCGCGGUUGUACAACGGGACUAAACUGAUCUCAUUUCUAACAUAUGGAGUUUUACAUAUUACAAGUCAUCAAAAUUUAUCGCUCAGUUGCUAGACCAAUAAAUUUCUUUAGAAUUUGUUGUUGAAUUAACUUCCGUAAGGUAGUCCAAGUCUUCCAAGGCUUUGUCAAGGGACUCCGCCAUAUCUGCCUCCCAUAAGCCUAACCUGCAGACUUUCUUGUAAGUUUCGUAACUUGAUGCCCUUAUGCCCUCCGAAGCGAUCUCCAUUAAAGAGUCACAAAUCUCUUCACUGCUCAUGGCAUCCAAAAAAGUUUCAGAUAAACCACGUCGCCAGAAAACAACAAUGGCACAGCUCUUGUCCAAUAACCGAACAUCAAAUUCUUCAGAGAAGACAGCAUGUAACUUGCACAACAAGCUCUUGAUCAUCCCCAACAUCGCAUUGUUAGAUACCAUAGCGUUGUCGGAAAUUUUCAGAAUGGAGCAGAGCUUUGCAAACAAAUAGCACAUCUUCACCACAUUAUGCCUUUGAAUGUUGCCUUCACUUUCUGUAGAUGACAACCCAAACAUUGUAUAUAGUAAGAGAAGAAGUUAGGUUUGCUCUGAAGUAAAAAAAUGGCAUAACGGACAGCAAUCGACACAAAAAAUCACAGGAAAACCAAGUAAAACCCACAAGAGCAACAAAUAUGUGAAUUACUGCACUCUCUUCAACUGUGCUACGCGAAAACUAAGGGUAAUAUCGAUACCUUGAGGCAAAAUUUCCAUAUCAAUGGCUGCGAAGUAAUGAUUAUUCAAGUACGAAAUAGCUGCAGGAAUAUUGGUCAUCCUUCUUAGAGGGCCAAUAUUCUUCAUCAGAUGGUUGACAUCAAGUAUGUGGGGAAAAACCGAGUGCAAGGAACCCAUGAACUCGUCUACAUUAGUCGGGAGGGGAGAGAGAAACUCUGAAUGAAUAACUGAAAUCUGCAUAACGCAAAAUUAAACAGUAAGUUGAGAAACUAGAAAAAGAACAGAAGCCAAGUCAAGGGCAUUAAAACUCAUAGAUGUUUAUUAAACAGAGAUACACCGUUAAGGGAAUUGUGGGAGACAACAGGUUUCUGUGAAGCAGAAAUCAAAUCGAUCACCUCUUGAAAUCCACGAACUCUCUUGUUUUGUUCCUCCUCAAGGUUUUGGAGCUCUCUCUGUAAGUAAAACAUUCAAGCCAAAUGUUGUGUUACAAAAAGCCCGAUAAUGCAAAAUAGAAAGACUUGAAAAUCACGUCACUACCUCAAACCAGUCCUUGUCUGCUGUAGAACUUGUCAAAACAGCACGAACAGCCUGAGUUCCUCCUCCCUUUGCUGGGAUUAUUAAAGGAACAAGUUCAUCAGAGAACUCUUUCAACAUCUGCAACCAAUGAAAAAAAAAUCAUUUGAUCAGAUAAAAUCUGAUUAAAUAUACCGGCACCAGAAAAAAGGAUUAAAAACAACAACGGGUCAACAUACAUACCUCCAGAGCAAGCUGCACUUGACGUUCACUUCAAACAUCUAGAUUCAUGCCGGGUCUGUUCCGUAAAUUUCACUUCCCAUUACAAUUUUUCUCAAGGAACUCAGCAGAGCAUCUGCAAAAUGGAAAGCCAAAACACUUUUUAACAGAAAAUAUAACAAAAUCGAAUGAAAGAUAGGGGAUGUAAGUAGAAUCUAGAACCCUUUUUCUGUCUUUACCAUCUUUCUUUGUGUUUUUACAUGCACUUUUCCAAUGAUUAACUCGCAAUUUAAUUCUUUCAACAAAAACCGUAUCAGCAACAGUAUGAGUCGAAGAAGAGUUCAUUACAUAGCUACUGGUAGUCGGAUUCCCUAUCCGAGCUUUAGCCGCAGAUUCUUGUGCUCCAGACAAGUAUGAAAUACCCGUCUCAUUACAAAACACAAAAUCUCAAUACAACAGCAAAGUUACAGACUUGUAAUGUCCCAAAUGGUACACUUUCACCAAUGCAUCGAGCCAAAGUUUUUAGUUUUCGUAAUUUCUGUUCUAGUUUUCGAAAAAAUAUUCACUUGGGUAAAAUCAUAUUCCACAAGAAAUUAGGGAGUAAAAUGAAAUAUCAAAACUUGACAGGGGAGGCUUACCAUUAUAUAUGCAGGCAUUGAAAUCAAAACCUUCUUCCGCCAUGGAAGUCAAAUGUGAUGUUUGAACUGAUCAACAAACCCAUCAUCAAUUCAUCCCUUGGGAACAAGACAAAGUUGUAUCUGCACCAAAAUCAACAAACCCAUCAUCAAAUUCCAUUCUAUAUAUGUGUAUGUAUAUGUAUGUAUAGGUAUAGUGAAAGCGUACGGACGGGUAAGGAGUAAGCUUCGAGGCUCUGAGAGUGUAAGGGCAGGCUGCGAACUGGAGGAGCUGGAAGCGCUCAGCGGCGUACUUGGCCUUGAAAUACGAAGUGUCGGCGGUGUCGAAGGGCUGAGGGUGGCGCCACGGCGCACGAUAUGACCCCGUUUUCUGCAGCGAGAAGGCCACGAAGUCGGAGCUGGACAGGUGGUCCUUGAACUCUCCAGGGACUCGGAAAAGUUGGACUUCGUCACUUCCUUCACGGCCCAUUUCUUCAAGACAUUGGUGGGGGUGGUGGUGGUGGUGGUGGUGGGGGUGGUGGUGGUGGUGGUGGUGGUGGUGGUGCUGAGGAAACGGCGUCGUAUAAACGGAGGCAGAGACGCCAUGGUUUAACUUAUCUCCAGCUUGACCUCAGCCGCUACCUGUAUAAUGCGUUUUUCAAUUUUCAGUUGCCGAACAAUAGGCUUACGACUUGUCGUUGCUUUCCUCUCCUUGUGAUUUUUUUUAUUUUAUUUUUUAUUUUACAAACGAUAUUAUUUCCAAUAAGGGGAUAGAGAGUUGACUACACGGCUACGCUUCAUAAUGGGCUAGCAAUAGUGUGGUUCAAAGUCGCAUUUGGCGAGAAUCGAACCAAAAAUCUUUCACUUACAUGUGGAUAGGAAUAUCACUAUACUGUAGUACUAAUUACUAAGUGAUCAUUUCCUUCUAAUUUUAGGUUUAGAUUGUUUCAUGUAGAUCUGUCGAUAGAUCGAAUUUUAACCUAGAUUCAAUUGAAAUCAAACGUAAUUAAUAUAGUAUGGAUUGUAGUUUUCAAUCUAAUUAUUUGAUUACAAAUGAAUUUGGAUAUGUAUAGAGGUUGACCCCACUGGAUCAUUUAUAACAUAUUAUAUUAUUUGUAUUAGGGUCUUGGAUUGAGUAAUUACUUUUCUUGUUUGUAUUUGGGCUUUGGAUUGAGAAAGUGAACCGAGACGGUCAUGUGAAUCAAGUCACAAGAAAGAACAAUGAAAUGGCAUGUUGCUGAAAAAAGUAAAGACUAUGGAGAAGAUUCAUUGUUGUCCAUGGAUAAAAUUCAACCAAAAAGAGGAAUGAAAAAAAAAUUUGAUGUCUAUAUUAGGAAUUGUUGACCCUAAAAGUGCAAAGCCUACGUGGGGCGUAAGUCGAGUAACUAUUGAACUAACUACUUCUUUCUUGUGAAUGCGAGCGUGCCACCUCACGACCAAGCUCGGUCGGGCGAGUAGAAUGGAUGUGGUGGUGGUGCUGAAUGCAGUACUGACUUAUGCAUUUGAGCAAUUACGGUCGAGGAUGGAACACCUCUAUGCCUAAGGUUCUCGAAGAAGACAAUGUUGCUUAAUUCACUACGAAGUUCAGGAUCUUCUGCAUCGGGUUUUGCUGCUUCAACUACAUUCGUAAAAAUAUUAGUGCACCAAAUCAGUAUCAAACUAUGUGGGAAAAGAUACUUAAAAAAUGCCUUUAUGGUGAAACGUGGUUCGGCUAUCUGAAUGCCGAAGUACAAAGUGACCUAAGAAUAACUAACCAUAGAACACUUCAUUUCGAUGAAAAGCUAAUGAAGUUAUGACGACCCGUCCCGAACUUUACCAAACAGAAGGGUAAUUUUGUAAUUUCACUAUGGUUGGGUUAAAUAUUUUGAAAUGCUGCUUUUGGAUCUUGUUUGGUGUGCCAUGUGGGGCCCACUUUCCUUUUUGGUCCCCUGGCCCAUUCUCCUUUCUCCUUCCUUCAUCCCGUGUGAACUCUCGGACCUCUUUCUUCUCUCUUCACUUUCUCUCGUUUUCUCCUAACCUUUCCGAGCCCUCUCUCUCCUCUACAACCUCUUCUCAUUUUCUUCCUCGAGCACAGCAACUGCAAACCUCACCAUCUAGACUGGAUGACCUCGAAACCUCAGGCUAAACAUCGUGGAACACCAACAAUGACGGAGUCACUGUUCAUCAACUUUUCCUGACGAGCUUCGACGUAGUUUGUGGUUCUUUCGAUGUUGGAAAGCUCCUAGAAACCCUUGGGAUGUGUUUUAAAGUUGGAUCGAGGCUUGUUGUAUGUUGUUUAAGCUUGUUGGACAUUGAAAUAACUCGGAGUUAGCUUUUCCUAGAUUUCGACAAGAACCCAUGACUUUCGAGGCGUUUUCCGGCCAAACCAUGACGAGUUAGCCGUUGGGCAAGGUACCAUUCUCUUCGGCUCGUCAAGAACUAUGAUUUUUGUUUUUUAAAUCACUCAAUUUCAUUAAGUAUUGAAGAAGUUAUGAACGUUUAAAGUUUACCCAGUUUCCGGCAAAUUCCCUAGUUUUCCCUCGGACCAGUCACUUUUCAGGCCAUUUUCCAGCCAUCUCUGGCAACCAUUGGGCUUCUAAAUAGGUAUAAUCUUGUUCUACACUUUCCUAUCUUCAUUUUUAUAUAUUAUGGGUCAAAUUUGGUUAAGAAAUGAUGAAGUUACGAAGCUUUGAAAUUUGCCCAAACUUCCGGCCAAAAUUCCAAUUUCCAGUGAGCUCCGGCAGCUUGACUUGGCUCGGCUCGGCUUGGCUGAGUCAGCCAUUGACUUCUCGGUCAGUGUUGACAAUUGACCUUGAUCGUUAAUCGUUGACCCGUCAACGUUGACUUUUUGGUUGACUUUUUUUUUAUUUCGGCCGGGAUCCCUCCUAGACUAAUUUUGAUGUUCUGAAUCCGUUUCUGACGCCUGUUUUCCCAAAUUCAAUCAUUUUAGUGUAGUUUUAUAAAUUGGUCCCUUUAUGUGCUUAGGUGAAAUUGUUUGUGGUGUUUCCAUCUUCUCCGGUUCGCAAGGUUCUUGGAUGACAAAGUAUCUGUGAGUGAACCCCUUCCAAAAUGCAUGAUUUUACUAUUACAAAAUGCAUACACGAAAAACAUGAUUUUAUGGAUACGUUUUAUGAAAUGUUUAUGAGAAAAUUGGAUUCAUGCUUUAUGAAAUAUCAUGCUUUAUCAGAUUUACAUUCUUUGAAUGAUUUAUGAUUAUAAAUUAUGAACAUAUUUUAUGAUAUGAUGUUUGAGCUACUGAGCUCCAAUGAGAUAUACUUUGGAAAGAUUAUGUUCAUUUUUUUAUAUGCUUAUCUAGUGUUUUCAUACGGUCUGCCUACGGGCGAAUGAUACUGCCUACGGGCAAAUGAUACUGCCUACGAGCGAAUGAUAUCUAUAUAUGGCUUCGGUCGGGUGAUGUAGAGGCCUACAGGCGAAUGAUAUCUAUAUAUGACUUCGAUUGGGUGAUGUAGGGGCCUAUGGGUGAAUAAAGAGUUAUAUAUGUCUUCGGGCGAAUGAAGAUUUAUAUAUGGCUUCGGUCUAAUGAUGUAAGGGCCUACGGGCAAAUAAAGGCCUUCAGGUGAUUUUGAUACCACUACUAUGCACACUGUAUAUGAUAUAUGUUUUAUGAAGUUUUUAUGGCAUGCUAGGGCUUUCGAAAAACCUAUCACAUAUUAUGCUAUUGAGUUUUCAUAUACUUUGGGGGUUAGUACGUUAAUGAAUAACUGUUUUAUUAUUACUUAUAUAUAAACUUGGUCCACUCAUGUUUUGUUUCGCGCCCCUUCAGGACUUAUAAUUGAGGCGUACAAUCAUGGCAUCAAGGCACUCCCACAUCGGCAUUUUCUAGUCCUCUCGAUGUAGGACUCAUCCCUUUGUUCGUUCAAUUUUAUAUUAUUCCUUUUAAUGUUCUUGAUUAGUUGUAUGCUCUAAACACGUUCCACAAUUGCAUAUUCAUUAUAGUUUAAUUUACGAGUUUAAUUUAUGUUCGUUCUUUCUUCAUAGUUCUCAUGCAUGUUAGUAUGGCUUCGUCACCUUCUGGUGUCGGCCAGCACGUGCCUACCCUGGUGUUUGAAGUAUAUCAGGGUUGGGCUUGUCAAUUUGGUAUCAGAGCGUGGUUUGUUCAGAGCAUACUUAGGAUCUUCUGUUACUGUAGUAGUGUGUCGGUCUUGACAUCAUUUGGAUGUCACGACUUCUGGUUUUGGUGCCAUUCAGCGCAGUUGUGCAAACCUUUUUCGUGUUGGGAUUGUGCCUCAUCGGUGACGAAAUGGAUUGUUGGACGAUUUUCAACAUCGAACCGAUAUUCUACAACAUGCGUUCCCUAGGAAUUGCGGCAAAGUCAGUUUUACAUUGAAGUGACGUGAAUUAGAAAUCUCAAUAAGAGGAAGUCCGGUUAAGACUAGCUGAAAAUCUGAAAUGGCGAUGCCACUCUGCAACAUGUGUUCCUCAAGAAUUGCGGGCAGAGUCGGAUUUACAUAUGAGUGUUGGGAAACGGAAAAAUCUUAGUGGUAUAAGUUGGAUGAGACCAACUGGAGUGUUCUGAAACGGUGAUGUUACUCUACGACAUGCGUUCCCUAGGAAUGGUGGGCAAAGUCAUAUCUUUAUGGAAAUUGCUCGAAACAUCGAAGUUCGUGUUGGAGAAAGCGGGUAAGCGCUAGUCGUGUGCAAAGUUUAGCAAGUGUUAGUUUGGUGGGAUCAAAUCUUUGUUCUUGGACUCUUUCCCACUAAGGAAAUUAGUGUGGACCCUCAAAACAAUUCUCAGCUAUUGUUCUAUCGAUAAUCUUCUUGCUUACUCUAACAACGAGGUCAAGUUCAAUAAACACCGAUAGUUAGCCUUACACCAUAUUCUUCGAGCGUUGUUUUUGUUUAGAUUAGAUACUUUUCUUGAGAGACUCUUUUAUAGCAGACAUUAUUCUUAUCAAUUUCCAAAAAGGGUUGCGACUGUUGGAAAUUGAAAAUCCUCACAAAGUGUGUGAAAUGCGAAUUACCCUUGAUCUUAUCACAUUCUAUCAGCAGUUCUUAACGAUUCCUUGAGCUUGGCCCUAUUUCCUUUUUUGCUAAGAAACCAGUCAAUUUUGUUGUGAUGCUGACGAUGAAUGAAGUUUCUGACAACAGGGUAUUGUCUCAUCUGAUCGUAGUUCUUACACUUUUUGAAUUCUGCGAUGGUAUAUUAUUAAUGUUUGGCUGCAUGCUGAUGCAACAUGAUUAAGUUACGUUUGUGCCUCUUGACAGUUGGAACCGUAUGAAGUGAACCAUCUUAUCUUUGACCUUGAGCCAAUGGUUACAAUCUAACUUGAAAACCUAAUGAAACCUUUUCUUUGUGGAAAUCCUUGUGGGACGAAGGUUGGGAAAGAAACUUUUUGGUGUUUUGAACAUCAUCUUACUCAUGCUCCCGUCCCUACUUUUCUUGACGUUGUUGGUGAGUUUUAAGUCUCUUAUUUUGCAUCGUUUCUGACCAAAUGAGUUAUAGUGUGUUCUGACAUAGAAAUAAUUGAGGUUGAGACAGAAGAAGUGGAUGGAACUCAUCGGUGAUUUUGAUUGCACUUUUGAGUACCAUCAUGGUCAAGCAAUUGUCGUAGCUGAAGCUCUUAAUCAGAAACCCCAUAGACAGCUUACCUUAAUCUAAGUUAUCCAUGUCUCACUAUCGUUUUCUCUUCGUGGAAUUGGAACUCUGUUGAUACGAAACAAGUUGCUUUUUCCUAAUGGCGAUGAAGUUGGAAAAAGGAAAAUUUUUGGUGAAGCUCAUGUUUCAGCGUAUGCCAUGUAUACUGGCAGUAUUAAAUUGUACCACUGUUUUCGUCCACUAUAUCACUGGUAUUGUAUGAAUGGGAUAUCGCCGAAUAUGUGAGUAAAUGUUUGUUUUACUGGUAAGUGGAAGCGGUAAGAUGGAAGCCAUCGGCUUAUCUCAAUUUCUUUCUAUUCCUGUUUGGAGGUGGGAAGAAAUUUCCCAGGGUCGUUCUUUUUAGGUUGUCAGGGACCCAUUGAGGAUACUAAUAGGAAUAGGUGAAUGUCACCAUAAUUUUCCUAUACAAACCACCUUGUACACAUGGAGACUAUGAUGACGUUUCGGUAUUGUUACCAACUCAAUCAACAUACUAUCUACCAAUUUUUUAGGACUAUACUUUUGACCACUUGGCAUAAUUCUUCAUUCUAGACUUUGUCUGACUGACGUCGCGAUAAACAUCGAUUUUGACCGAAAUCCCAGAUUCACCUCCUGGUAUUAGAAAACAUUCUAGUCAACGUUGGGUUCACACUUACCCUACGACACUUUGUAUAUUUUCCUUCGUAUCAUUUCUAAAGCAAUGAGACUAUUCAGGAAGACCACUCAGAUCUGAAAGUUUUAGUCGAAACCAUCAGUCAUUCAAUCACCCUUUAACAUACUACCGAGCGAAUCAUUACCAUUAGUGAUUGAAUAUCUCUAAGGUUAUCGUUGUAACAAGUUGUUGUGAAUUUUGGAGUGGGAAAAAGUCCGAGUAGAACACCAACAAUGACAGAGUCACUAUUCAUCAACAUAUCUUGACGAGCUCCGACGUAGUUCAUGGUUCUUUCGACGUUGGUAAGCUCCUAUAAACCCUUGAGAUGUGUUUUAAAGUUAGAUCGAGGCUUGUUGUAUGUUGUUUAAGCUUGUUGGACGUUGAAAUAACUCGGAGUAAGCUUUUCCCAGAUUCCGACAAGAACUCGUGACUUUCGAGGCGUUUUCAGGCCAAAACCACAAUAAGUUAGCCAUCGUGCAAGGUACCAUUCUCUUUGUCUCAUCGAGAACUAUGAUUUUUGUUUUUGGAAUCACUCAAUCUCAUUGAGUAUUGAAAAAGUUAUGAACAUUUAAAGUUUACCCAGUUUCCGGCGAGUUCCCCAGUUUUCCCACAGACCAAUCACCUUUUCAGGCCAUUUUCUGGCCAUCUUUAGCAACCAUUGGGCUUCCAAAUAGUUAUAAUCUUGUUCUACACUUUCCUAUCUUCAUUUUUAUAUAUUAUAGGUCGAAUUUGGUUAAGAAACGAUGAAGUUACGAAGCUUUGAAAUUUACCCAAACUUCCAGCCAAAAUUUCAGUUUCCGGUGAGCUUCGACGGCUUAACUUGACUUGGCUCGACUUUGCUAAGUCAGCCGUUGACUUCUCUAUCAGCGUUGACCAUUGACCAGUCAACGUUGACUUUUGGGUUAACUUUUUCAGAUUUCGAUCGGGACCUCUCCUAAACUAAUUUAGACGUCCUAAAUCCGUUUCAUACGUCCGUUUUCCCAAAUUCAAUCGUUUUAGUAUAGUUUUAUAAAUUGGUCUCUUUAUGUGCUUAGGUGCAAUUGUUUGUGGCGUUUCCGUCUUCUCUAGUUCGCACAGCUCUUCGACGGCGAAGUAUCUGUGAAUAGACCCCUUCCAAAAUGCAUGAUUUUUCUAUUACAAAAUUCAUACAUGAAAAGCAUGAUUUUAUGGAUACGUUUUAUGAAACAUUUAUGAGAAAAUUGGAUUCAUGCUUUAUCAGAUUUACAUUCUUUGAAUGAUUUAUGAUUAUAUAUUAUGAACAUGUUUUAUGAUAUGAUGUUUGAGCUACUGAGCUCUUAUAAGAUAUACUUUGGAAAGCUUAUGUUCAUGUUUUUAUAUGCUUAUCUAUUGGUUAUUCAUACGAUCUGCCUACUGGCGAAUGGUACUACUUAUGGGCAAAUGAUACUGCCUACGAGCGAAUGAUAUCUAUAUAUGGCUUCGAUUGGGUGAUGUAGGGGCCUACGGGUGAAUGAAGAGUUCUAUAUGUCUUCGAGCGAAUGAAGAUUUAUAUAUGACUUCGGUCGGGUGAUGUAGGGGCCUACCGGCGAAUGAAGGCCUUCGGGCGAUUUUGAUAGCACUACUAAGCACACUAUAUAUGAUAUAUGUUUUAUGAAGUUUUUAUGGCAUGCUAGAGUUUUCAGAAAACCUAUUACAUAUUAUGUUAUUGAGUUUUCAUAUACUUUAGGGAUUAGUACGUUAAUGAAUAACUGUUUUAGUAUUACUUAUAUAUAAACUUGGUCCACUCAUGUUUUGUUUUGCACCCCCUCAGGACUUAGAAUCAAGGUGUACAAUCUCGGCAUCAAGGCACUCCCGCAUCGGCAUCUUCGAGUCCUCUCGAUGUAGGACUCAUCCCUUUGUUCGUUCAAUUUUAUAUUAUUCCUUUUAGUGUUCUUGAUUAGUUGUAUGCUCUAAACACAUUCCACAAUUGCAUAUUCAUUAUAGUUAAAUUUACGAGUUUAAUUUAUGUUUGUUCUUUCUUCAUAGUUCUCAUGCAUGUUAGUAUGGCUUCGUCACCUUCGGGUGUCGGUCAACACGUGCCUACCCUGGUGGUUGGAGGAUAUCAAGGUCAGGCAUGUCAGAAUUGACCUCUUUGGGCUAAAGAAUUGAGAAUUCUUCGUUGAAAGAGACUUGUAUAGAUAAUCAACCAACCAGAAGCAGUCCUAUUUACUUGUCCAAACUAAAGAUGUUACUAAAUCGCUUGAUUCUACGACUCUAGUGUUGUAUACUUAUCUAACAUGAAGAUGUCACCUUUAUUUUAAGCCCAAAUAGAAAUAAAAUUACAUGUUGACCUCAAACAAUUGCCUUGUGCCGCACGUGACCGAGAUGAAUGAAAUUUGAAUGAAAAAUUUUAAAAAUUAAAUGCCAGUAUAGAAAUUGACCAAUUAUAAAAGUUAGGUAAUUAGCUAAAAUUAAAUUCAAAAGGGAAAUUGAUCCAAUUAUGAAAAUUCAAAAUAAUUGGCUAAAAAUAAAGUUCAUGGGAAAACUGACAGCUUCUUACAAUUUUGUGGGGGCACAAAUACCUCUUGGUUUUUCAAUCUUCAAAUGCCAAAUUACGCUUACUAACUUGUCGUUGUUUUUCCUACUUAAGCCCAAACACAACAAACAUUUGGGGCCAAGAAAACGAGCGGUGGCCCAGUAUUAUCAGGUAAUAUAUGAACCAGUCACGUGACACGUGGUCGUUGCAGAUCGCGAGCCAUCGUCCCCCAAUUGCAAUUGAUUAGGGCAUUUUGGAGUGGAAGCUUUAUAUAUGUGAUACUAUCAAAUCCACAGCGAGCCGAGCGACUGCGUCUCCAGCUAUAAAUCCGGCAGACCUUCUAUCGUCGCUCAAAACACUCAUCGACCUCCUCCGUCACCUCAUCCGUCAAAACGUCCGUUAAACCCUCGUCGGCUUCAUCUGCUCUCAUCGAGGUUUGAGAUUUUUCUCCACAGCCGCCGUUUAUUUUAUUUGUUUGCCGAAUCGUUUUUUUUUUUUAGCUCGUUUAAAGCAGCAAUCUUUUGCUGCAAUCGAACAUGAAAUGGAAAUGUUUCUGGUUUUUAUUUAUUACUGGAAUAUCUCAGAUGGAAAGAGAACCGUCCAAGUCCCGUUCGAAGGUGUCAAUGGAGUUGGACAGAAUUAGCAACUUACCAAGUGACGUUAUAAACAGAAUUUUGUCACAUUUGCCGAUUAGGGAAGCAGUUAGAACAAGUGUUUUAUCAAGCAAGUGGAGGAACAAAUCGGCUAUGCUUUCUCAUCUUUUGUUUGAUGAUCGGUGCACCUCGGAUCAAAACCCUACAACCUUUACAGGCAUUGUUGAUCAUGUACUCUUGGGUCACAUUAGCCCCAUAUACAGGUUCAGGAUCAUUCAUUCCCGACCUCAAGUCUGUAGAGAUAUUGAUCGAUGGAUUCUUCAUCUGUCAAGAAACUCUAUCAAAGAGUUGUUGCUUAAUAUCAAAUGUAGUGGGCAUCGCCACAAGAUGCCUUCAUGUUUGUUUUCUUGUCAAGAUCUCAUUUAUUUAGUGUUGUAUGAUUGUUUGCUACAACCUCCAUCCAAGUUCCAAGGAUUCAGGAGUUUGAAGACUUGUCGUCUUUUUAAUGUUACCCUGGACCAAGAUGUGCUUGAGAAUCUGAUUGUCUGCUGUCCUCUCCUUGAGAGAUUAACAUUGUGGCACUGUGAUGCAUUAACCCGGUUCAAGAUUGAUGCACCGAAUCUCAAAUUCCUUCAUUUUAAAGGCGUGCUUGAGGAUGUUAGUCUUGUGAAUACCUUAAAACUGGCCGAAGUUCACAUUAGUUUGACUGCUGAUGUUGCAAAUGACCAAAGACGGACUGCUGGAAGUUGUAGCAAUUUGCUCAAUUUUUUUGUUCAUCUGCCUCAUAUUCGAUGUCUUCGUGUCAAAUCUAACUUUUUGAAGGUAAUGGUUUUUGUGGCUUCAUUCUUUCAGUCAAUAAUCAGAUUUUGUGGCAAUCAGAAGUUGACUGUAUUUUCAAUCUUCUGUUUUCUGAACCUUUCUGUUCCAGUAUUUGGCUGUCGGAGUCUUGCCAGGAAAGCUACCUCAACCGUGUCUAUAUCUGAAUUUUUUUUCUAUACAUUUAAGCUUCAACGAUCCGAAGGAGAUUUUAACUGUUUUAUGUCUUCUGAGAAGCUUCCCUGCUCUACAGGAACUUGAAAUUUCAGUGAGUUUGUUGUAUUAUGUUGAUGCAUGCAUAUCCUGGUGUUCAAUUAAGAAUGUCAACCCAACUCUCUACACUAAUUGUAUUUUACUGUUUAGAGAGCUAUUUUAUGUGAUGUUCAAGCAUCUGAUGAUAUAGACUUAUGCAGGCCUUGAAUGAGUAUGAGGGUGCUGAGGGAGAAGUGAACUACGGGUUAGACAACAACCAGAAUUGCCAAUUGACCAAACUGCGAAUUGUCAAAAUAACCGGCAUCUAUGGUGACAAAGCUGAACUAGAUUUCAUCAGGUUUUUGCUUUCAAGUUCACCUGUGCUCGAGAAGAUGACUGUGAAGCCUGCUACUGCUAGAGAUUUUCAACUAGUAAAAAUGUUGCUCCAGUUUAAGCGUGUCUCGGAGAAUGCAGAGAUAUUCUACUUAGACCCUUGAUUCCUCAAUGAAACAUGUUUGGCAGAUAAGAUACGAGGACUUACCGGCAGAAACUGAAUGCGGAUUUUGAUAGUUUGAUACAAUUAUCUGUUAUGUAUUUUUCUUUGAACAAUGCCUCAGUGUCUUGCUAGGUGCAUUGUUCAGUGUCUUACUAGGUGCCUUUUUUUGGAGUGUUAUGUCUUGUCAAACGAUGCCAGUAGAUAUGUCUUCUUUUCUUUUACUAAUCUCAUGUUCAACUUGGACUCUGAUGUUAAAUUUUGACCCUAAGAUGUCUGAUGAUAUGUCUCGAAUACAAGAGGAGUAAUUUGAAAGUGUUUUUAGAAUGACUUAAAAGCGCUUACAAGCCAUAGGUCAUUUUGUAGAAAAGGUUGAAAGUUAUAAAUGGAGAAGGGCCGCAUGCGGUGGUCAUAUUCAAGAACCUCUUCAGGAGUUAUUAAAUGAACAUUUAGAAUGCGCGACGCAGCCAAACUAGAAGAAAGUACAUCGGCAGCAAUUAUUUGUAUUCGAUUCAGCAGUAUAACCAAAAGAAAAGGUUUUGUUCAGAUUACCUCCGGAAUAGAGGGCAAUGCCUGAUUGCUCUCCGUUUUGGGAUAGCACGACAACAAUUCUCGGUUGUACAACGAGUUUAGAACAAAACUGAUCUCAUUUCUAACAUAUGGAGUUUUACGUAUUACAAGUCAUCAAAAUUUAUCGCUGAGUCGCUAGACCAAUAAAUUUCUUUAGAACUUGUAGCUGAAUUAGCUUCCAUAACAUAGUCCGAGUCUUUGUCUAGGGACUCCGCUAAAUCUGCCUCCCAUAAGCCUAACCUGCAGACUCUCUUGUAAGUUUCGUAACUCGAUGCUCUUAUGCCCUCCGAAACAACAACAACAACAACAACAAAGCCUUUUCCCACUAAGUGGGGUCGGCUAUAUGAAUCCUAGAACGCCAUUGCGCUCGGUUUUGUGUCAUGUCCUCCGUUAGAUCCAAGUACUCUAAGUCUUUUCUUAGAGUCUCUUCCAAAGUUUUCCUAGGUCUUCCUCUACCCCUUCGGCCCUGAACCUCUGUCCUGUAGUCACAUCUUCGAACCGGAGCAUCAGUAGGCCUUCUUUGCACAUGUCCAAAUCACCGGAACCGAUUUUCUCUCAUCUUUCAUUCAAUUUCGGCUACUCCUACUUUACCUCGGAUAUCCUCAUUCCCAAUCUUAUCCUUUCUCGUGUGCCCACACAUCCCACGAAGCAUCCUCAUCUCCGCCACACCCAUUUUGUGUACGUGUUGAUGCUUCAACGCUCAACAUUAUGUGCCAUACAACAUCGCUGGCCUUAUUGCCGUCCUAUAAAAUUUUCCCUUGAGCUUCAGUGGCCUACGACGGUCACACAACACGCCGGAUGCACUCUUACACUUCAUCCAUCCAGCUUGUAUUCUAUGGUUGAGAUCUCCAUCUAAUUCUCCAUUCUCUUGCACGAUAGAUCCUAGGUAGCGAAAAUGGUCGCUUUUUGUGAUCUUCGCUAGAUUGCUCCGGUCAUUAGUGUGGAUAAGUAUAUAAAUGGAUAGAGACAGGAAAGCAAACAUAAGAUGUACGUGGUUCACCCAGAUUGGCUACGUCCACGGAAUAGAGGAGUUCUCAUUAAUUGUGAAAUGUUUACACAAGUACAUAGGUUCAAGCUCUCCUUUAGUGAGUACAAGUGAAUGAUUUAGUACAAAUGACAUUAGGAAAUAUUGUGGGAGAAUGAUCUCGUAAUCACGAAACUUCUAAGUAUCGGAGUGCGGUAUCGUCUUGACUUGCCUUAUCUGUCUCAUAGGUAGAUGUGGCAUCUUCUCUGGAAGUACUCUUCCUCCAUUCAGGGGUGGUAUCUUUAACUGGUGGAGAUGCACAAGGUAAUGUAUCAAUUUCACUUGAAGCUUACUUGUAGUUUCAGGCUUGGUCAAGCGCGAUACAAACCAUGUAGUAGGAGUCCCCCAAGUCGCCGAGCUAGAGGAUCUGCUGAAAGAGGUGACAGACAAGGUAAGCAAUCAGAGCUCCGGCUGAUUGUUCACAUUCUCCCUAUCUUGCAGGCAGCAUGAAGGAUAAAGAGAAGAAAAUGAGAAGAGAUGAUAUGGGAUACUUUUGCUUUUGAAGAAGUAACUUUCCACAGGCUUAUUCUUGAACUGAGCUGGAGGGUUUUCUGGUUUCCUCCAGAGUAUAAGGCCGACUGAAGAAUUUGAGGGUCAAAACAAGUCCAUCAAAUCUAGAGUACGUUCGACCCUGCUGAUAUGAGAUACUUUUGCUUUGACAGAGUAAUGGAUGUAUCGGCACGUGUGCUGUUUCGCUUGUCUCCACAUGCUUCCUUGUAUCCUUCUCCCUUGCCCUAUCUGUUCCUCAGGCAGAUGCGGUAUCUUUCCUGGAAGCAUAAGAUGUUGAAGAUGAGUACUCGAGAGCAAUGGCAGGUAAGUAAUCAGGUAAGGGGUUCCAGGCAGUCAGUUCCUGGCUGGAAGCUUGAUUCCAAGUGCUGACUGAUUGCUCUCUUUCUCCUUGUCUUGCAGAUAAGAACAAGGCCAAAGGAAAAGACAGGGAAAAAGCAUGAUAUGGGAUACUCUUGCUUUUAACCCUGAUGAUAUGAGAUAUUCUUGCUCUAGUAUAGCUUGUUUGCAGAGAUAUUAUCGGGGGGAAAGAAAGCUGAAUAUUUCGAAAGGCUUCAUUGAGAGUGCCCUCUCAGAUAUGAGGAAGGGUUGAGCAUUUUUGCAGGUCUGCCUGUCCGUUGGGAAUAGAGGUCGACAUAUAUAGGAGUCUCCUUAACAACAAGUAGUAAUGCUAUUCCUUUACCCUACUUGGUCAUAGCACGGUAGUGGGAGCUGCUAGCUUCACAUGUUUUAACUCUGUCAGAGCACUUUGAAAAAGUGGUCUGUGGUAUCUGGAAAGGUGAUGUUGCGUGUGAAGAUUACAGACAGCUUUAUCCAAGGAGAUCCGGCUCUUGAAGUUGGGAAAGUGUUACCUCUUCGGUUUUCGAACAAGCAAUCCUAUCGGGGAUCUGGCUCUCGAGAUUCGGAGAACGAUGCCUCUUCGAUUUUUGAGAAAGCAAUCAUGUUGGGGGUCUGGCUCUCGAGAUUCGGAGAGCGGUGUCUCUUCGAUUUUUGAGAAAGUAAUCAUGUUGGGAGUCUGGCUCUCGAGAUUCGAAGGGCGGUGCCUCUUCGAUUUUGGAGCAAGCAAACUUGUGGGGAGUGUUUUCUCGAAUGUGAGUAAAGGUUGGGCAUGUUUGCUAGUCUACCUUGCCACGAAGCACAGAGGUUGACACAUAGGGACUUUCCAAUUAUCCAGCAAUGGUACUGUUCUUUUACCCUCUCUUCGAUUUUUGAGAAAGUAGUCAUGUUGGGAGUCUGGCUCUCGAGAUUCGGAGGACGGUGCCUCUUCGAUUUUGGAGCAAGCAAUCUUGUUGGGAGUGUUUUCUCGAAUGUGAGUAAAGGUUGGGCAUGUUUGCUAGUCUACCUUGCCACGAAGCACAGAGGUUGACACACAGGGACUUUCCAAUUAUCCAGCAGUGGUACUGUUCCUUUACCCUUGUGGGUAAUAAUAUGGUAGCUAGACCUUCAAAAUUUAUGUGUCUAAACUUUGUUAGUGUUGUUUCUUUGCUAUUCUUUUACCCUUCUUGGUCAGAGCGAUGUAGUGGGAGUUGCAAGCUUCACGUGCUCAACUUUGGCAGAGAACUUUGGCAAAGUUAUCUGUGGUACCCAUGAGCUACUGUUGCGUGUGGGAAGUGGGUGAUUGAACAGUAAGACUCAUGUGCUUUCUACUUCACCAGAAGUCUUUGACAGAAUGCCCAUAAUUUCCGCAAAGCUGAGUGUGCGUGUGACAGGUGCUGACAAGGCUGGAAAAGUAGGUGCCUCUUCGAUUUCUGAGAUCGGCCCUCGUGGUCUCUGAGCAGCCCAGCUUUUGAGAAAGCAAGCGCCUCUUCGAUUUCUGAGAUCGGCCUUCGUGGUCUUUGAGCAACCCAGCUUUUGAGAAAGCAAAGGCCUUUUCAAUUUCUGAGAUCGACCCUCGUGGUCUCUGAGCAGCCCAGCUUUUGAGAAAGCAAACGCCUCUUCGAUUUCAGAGCAGGCGCCUCUUCGAUUUCUGAAGCUCUGUCGAGUGCAGAUUUUUAUAAGGGCUGGCAUUAAGUUCCAAAGCACACUUGAAUCUCCACCAGUAGAAGCUCCAUUCUUGCACUUCUUAGAUCUUGAUUUGUUCGACCUCUUCUCUCUUCAACACCUUUGAAAAUGUUGGGCCCCUCCGACCGUCGUUUUGACUUGAACCUUGUUGAAGAGGCAGCUCCGCUUUCUCCAGACAACAUAUGGCGCCCAUCCUUCGUCUCCCCUACUGGUUCUCUUACUGUUGGGGAUUCCAUGAUGAAGAAUGAUAUGACCGCUGCGGUGGUGGCCAGGAACCUUCUCACUCCCAAAGAUAACAGACUACUUUCCAAAAGGUCUGAUGAGUUAGCUGUUAAGGAUUCUCUGGCUCUCAGUGUUCAGUGUGCAGGUUCUGUGUCUAAUAUGGCCCAAAGCCUAUUUGCUCGAACCCGCCAAGUUGAAUCAUUGGCGGCUGAAGUGAUGAAUCUCAAACAUGAGAUUAGAGGGCUCAAGUAUGAGAAUAAACAGUUGCACCGGCUCGCACAUGACUAUGCUACAAACAUGAAGAGGAAGCUUGACCAGAUGAAGGAAUCUGAUGGUCAGGUUUUACUUGAUCAUCAGAGAUUUGUGGGUUUAUUCCAAAGGCAUUUAUUGCCUUCGUCUUCUGGGGCUGUACCGCGUAAUGAAGCUCCAAAUGAUCAACCUCUGAUGCCUCCUCCUUCUAGGGUUCUGUCCAGUACUGAGGCUCCAAAUGAUCCUCCUCCGGUGCCUUCUCUUUCUGGGGCUCUACCGACUGCUGAGACUUCUCCUAAGCAACCUUUGUGAAGGCUCCAUCUUGUUUGUUUAUUUUGACUUAUGUAUAUGUACAUAUUUGUAGUUUAUCGGGGAUAUCAAUAAAUAAGCUUUCCUUCAUUUCAACGUAUUAUGUUAAUUACACCAAAGCCUUCUUCGCUAAGUUCUUUGAAUUUUCUUUUGUUGAAGCUUUGUGAGUGGAGCAUGUAGGUUGAGGUAGUGUUCCCUUAAUUUCCUGAGUGAGGAAAACUUCUCGGUUGGAGACUUGGAAAAUCCAAGUCACUGAGUGGGAUCGGCUAUAUGAAUCUUAAAACGCCAUUGUGCUCGGUCCUAUGUCAUGUCCUUCGUUAGAUCCAAGUACUCUAAGUCUUUUCUUAGAGUCUCUUCCAAAGUUUUCCUAGGUCUUCCUCUACCCCUUUGGCCCUGAACCUCUAUCCCAUAGUCGCAUCUUCUAAUCGGAGCGUCAGUAGGCCUUCUUUGCACAUGUCCAAACCACCGUAACCGAUUUUCUCUCAUCUUUCCUUCAAUUUCGGCUACUCCUACUUUACCCCGGAUAUCCUCAUUCCUAAUCUUAUCCUUUCUCGUGUGCCCACACAUCCAACGAAGCAUCCUCAUCUCCGCUACACCCAUUUUGUGUACGUGUUGAUGCUUCACCGCCCAACAUUCUGUGCCAUACAGCAUCGCCGGCCUUAUUGCCGUCCUAUAAAAUUUUCCCUUGAGCUUCAGUGGCAUACGGCGGUCACACAACACGCCGGAUGCACUCUUCCACUUCAUCCAUCCAGCUUGUAUUCUAUGGUUGAGAUCUCCAUCUAAUUCUCCGUUCUUUUGCAAGAUAGAUCCUAGGUAACGAAAACGGUCGCUCUUUGGUAUUUCUUGAUCUCCGAUCCUCACCCCUAACUCGUUUUGGCCUCCAUUUGCACUGAACUUGCACUCCAUAUAUUCUGUCUUUGAUCGGCUUAGGCGAAGACCUUUAGAUUCCAACACUUCUCUCCAAAGGUUAAGCUUUGCAUUUACCCAUUCCUGAGUUUCAUCUAUCAACACUAUAUCGUCUGCGAAAAGCAUACACCAAGGAAUAUCAUCUUGAAUAUGUCAUGUUAACUCAUCCAUUACCAACGCAAAAAGGUAAGGAGUUAAGGAUGAGCCUUGAUGUAAUCCUACAGUUAUGGGAAAGCUUUCAGUUUGUCCUUCAUGAGUUCUUACGGCAGUCUUAUGCCCUCCGAAACGAUCUCCAAUAAAGAGUCACAAAUCUCUUCACUGCUCAUGGCAUCCAAAAAUGUUUCAGAUAAACCACGUCGCCAAAAAACAACAAUGGCGCAGCUCCUGUCCACUAACCGAACAUCAAAUUCUUCAGAGAAGACGGCAUGUGACUUGCACAACAAGCUCUUGAUCAUCCCUGCAGUCAUCCUACUUCUGAAUCCCCAUAAGAAUACCAAUUGAUCACAGCUGACCUUUCUCAAAUUCUUUGUCCAGACUCUGAUAUCCUCAUUGGUUGAUUCUUGGGGGCUGUCAAAACACGGAUUGGAAAUGUUCGUGAACUCUUCGACGGCUGGAGCCAACAGUGCAUUGUUAGAUACCAUAGUGUUGUUGGAAAUUUUCAGAACGGAGCAGAGCUUUGCAAACAAAUAGCACAUCUUCACCACAUUAUGCCUAUGAAUGUUGCCUUCACUUUCUGUAGAUGACAACCCAAACAUUGUAUGUAGUAAGAGAAGAAGUUAGGUUUGCUCUGAAGUAAAAAAAUGGCAUAACGGACAGCAAUUGACACAAGAAAUCACAGGAAAACCAAGUAAAACCCACAAGAGCGACAAAUAUGUGAAUUACUUCACUCUAUUCAACUGUGCAAACAUCUAGAUUCGUGCAGGGUCUUGUUCCUUAAAUUUCACUUCCCAUUACAAUUUUUCUCAAGGAACUCGGCAGAGCAUCUGCAAAAUGGAAAGCCAAAACACCUUUCAACAUCUGAAACCAAUGAAAAAUAAAAUCGUUGGAUCAGAUAAAAUCUGAUUCAAUACACCGGCACCAGAAAAAAGGAUUAAAAACAACAGGAGGUCAACAUACAUACCGUAGUACUAAAUGACCAUUUCCUUUUUUAUUUUAGGUUUAGAUUGUUUCAUGUAGAUCAGUCGAUAGAUCGAAUUUUAACCCAUAUUCAAUUGAAAUCAGACUUAAUUAAUAUAGUAUGGAUUGUGGUUUUCAAUCUAAUUAUAAUUACAAAUGAAUUUGGAUAUGUAUAGAGGUUGAUCGCAUCGGAUCAUUUAUAACAUAUUAUUUAUUGGGAAAAUUAGGUUCACAUCAUUCUUUUUGUUACUCCAUUGAUUAAAAUCCUAUUCAUUUUCAAUUUUUUAUCAAGGUCCUUGGGUAUUAAUAACAUCAUUAAUUAUUUAAAUAAUAAAAUAUUUUUAUUUUUAAAUAUAUUCCUUUAAUGUUAAAAAUGUUACAAUUAGUAUAUUUAUAUUUAUGGCUAAAUUUUUUUAUCAUAUAUUUUUAUUUUUAGUUUGUACCUAUUUUUUUAUUUGCAAAUAUUUUUUAAUUUGUACCAAUUUUCUUUUCAUUUUUAAUUUGUACCCAUAUAUAAGCUUCUUUUUGUGCCCAUAUUUUUUAAAGUUUUAUUUGUGUUUGUACCCAUGUGUAUACCGUCACGUGACAUUUAAUCAAUGAUAGAAAAAUUACAUAUGGUAUAUUUAUGUUUUAUGCCUAAACUUUGUAUCAUAUAUUUAUAUUUUUCGUCUGUACCCACUUUUAAUUUGCAACAUUUUUUUUAAAUUUGUAGUAUUUUCUUUUUAGUUUUAUUUUGUACCCAUGUAUUAAUUUCUUUUAGCACCUAUAUUUUUAAAAAUUCAUUUGUAUUCAUAAUUUUUAAUUUUUUAUCUGUACCCCCUAAUUUAUUUCUAAUGUACCCAUUCUUCUUUAUCAAUGUACCACUUUGUUAUAUGUGAAAUGUACCAAUUUUUUUAACACUAUGGAUAAAUUCUUUUGCCAUUUAUUAUUUAUUAUUUUUACAUAGUUUUUAUCCAUUUAUUCAAUCAAAAUGUUUGAAUUUUUUUAUUGUAACCGUUUCUAAUAGUAUUAUAAUGAGGGAUUUUAAAUUUAUAGGAUUAUAAAUCUCAUAAAAUAUCAAACAAUUAAUGUCAAAACUAUAAAAAUAUAAAUAUUAAUAGUAAUAUAAUGAGGUGUACAAAGUCAAGGGACUUUGAUCAAACUUUGAAUAUUAUUAAGAUUUUAAUCAACGAAUGUUAAGGAUUAGGGACCGCAUCCAAAGUAUCCCUUUAUUAUUUGUAUUUGGGUCUUGGAUUCAGUAAUUACUUUUCUUGUUUGUAUUUGGGCUUUGGAUUGAGAUAGGUGAACACUAAGGCGGUCAUGUGAAUCAAGUCACAAGGAAAAAUAAUGAAAUGGCAUCACAACGCCAACAUGUUGUUGAAAAAAGUAAGACUAUGGAGAAGAUUAAUUGUUGUCCAAAUUAGGGAUAAAAUUCAAACAAAAAGAGGAAGGAAAAAAAUUGAUGUCUAUAUUAGGAAUUGUUGACCCUAAAAGUGCAAAGCCUAUGUGGGACAUAAGUCGAGUAACUAUUGAACUAACUACUUUCUUAUGAAUGCGAGCGUGCCACCUCACGACUGAGCUCGGUCAGGCGAGUAGAAUGGAUGUUGUGGUGUUGCUGAAUGCGCUGCUGAUUUAUGCACCUGAGCAAUUACAGUCGAGGAGGGAACGCAUCUAUGCCUAGAGUUCUCGAACCUGAAGACAAUGUUGCUUAAUUCACUGUGAAGUUCAGGAUCUUCUGCAUCGAGUUUUGUUGCUUCAACUAUAUUCGUAAGUGCGCCGAAUCAGUAUCAAACUCUAUGGGAAAAGAUACUAAAAAAAUGCCUUUAUGGUGAAACAUGGUUCGGCUAUUUGAAUGCCGAAGUACAAAGUGACCUGAGAAUAACCGACCAUAGAAUAGUUCAUUUCAAUGAGAAGCUAAUGAAGUGACCUAUUUGGCCUAAAGAAUUGAGAAUUCUUCGCCGACAUAGACUUGUAUAAAUAAUCAACCAACCAGAAGCAGUCCUAUUUACUUGUCCAAAUUAAAGAUGUUCCUAAAUCGCCUGAUUCUAUAGCUCUAGUGUUGUUUACUUAUCUAAACUAUGCAUUGGACGACAACCAGAAUGCCAACUCACUCAACUGCGACUUGUGAAAAAUAACCGAAGUAUCUGGUCUUAGCGCUGAAUUAGAUUUCAUCAUAUUUUUGCUUUCAAGUUCACCUGUGCUCGAGAAGAUGAUUGUGGAGCCAGCUGCUAUUGUCAGAGGUUUUCCGGAACUAUUAAAAAAGGUGCUCCCGUACGUUUUGGUGUGUCUCGGAGAAUGCAGAGAUAAUAUACAUGGACCCUUGGUUCACGGUUCAUCCAUGAAACAAAUAUGGCAGAUACAGGCUUGCUGAACCGAAGUGUGGUUUUGAUAGUUGAGUGCUAUCCCUAAUCUGUUUUUGUCUUCCCAGUUUAAAAUGGUGGGGAAUUUAUGUUUGGGUACUAUUACCAACCAUUUUUUUCUUUGUAAACAAUAAUAUUUAGCCAUUGCUGACCCAAAAGUAAUAAUAUUAUGUCAUUUCUUGUGUGUGUGUGUAAAUAUAUGUAUAUAUGGAUGAUUCUUUUUUUACCUGAGACACAAGUAGCUAAAAACUAUCAGUCACUGUUGAUAAAUAACUACAUAAGCAACAGAAUAACCAUGUAUGAUCCACUGCCAUAUUGUAUGUCCUCUUCUUCCAUGGCCGUUUGCAACGAACACGUUUGCCAAACCAUGUGUUUGAGUUAAUAUUUAACAUUGGGCUUUAUGAUAAUGAUGCCCAAGCCCAGUUGAUAGGCCUGAAACAAUUUGAAGCCAUUUCAGCUAAGGCAUAGGCCAUGUGUCUAUGAUUAAAGUGAUGGAUGACAAAGACCAAUUCAUCACCAGCCAAAAACAUUUUCUAAUCACUUGACAAGUAAAUAGAUGAUGACUCACUGAGCCACCAGCCAGAAACAGAGCUAAAACAGUCAAGCCAAAUCGCCUAUAAAAAGAGAAAGGGACAUCAGAGACAAAGACACUCAACCAACCAAUCAAAAGACAUACAAACUCUGCUCUCAAGCCAGUUCAUACCCAGAAAGCUGAAACUUGUCCAGAUUCAGUCCUUUUAGCUAUAGUUCUCUUAGGAAAAACCAUCUUUUGUCUAGUGUAAAAGCUCUGCUACCUUUCCUUAGUAUUGUAGUAUCGAUUCCCUCGUGUAAAAUCUAUUUACUUGCCAUCUUUUUUAGCAUACAAACUUCUGUAAACCCAAAGAGAAAUGGUUUCAAGAAGUUCAACCUUACCCGACAAUGUGAAGUCUUCCCGAGUCUCUUUGUUUGUACUUUUAUUUAGUAGAUCUGUCGCUAAAUAUACUUUCCAUCAUGUAUUCAAGUUAUUUUCAACUAUUUUCUACUUAAGAGGCCCAGUUGCAUUAGAAUAUGGUUAAGUUAAUGAACAUGUUUUCAUUAAAAGAAAAUUGUGAUCGAGGAAGUGGUUGAAAGGGCCUUGAACUCCCUUCGUUUUAGACAUAUAAGAUUAUGAACUAAAAGUCUUUGUUUACAAGGCACGAAAAAGAACUUAAUACAGACUUAACCCAUCUAUGACAAUCCUUUGAUAAACAAGCAGUUUGAGUGACUUGGGGCGCAAGUAAUCAACUUAACUCACACCCAUUCAACAAUCUGUAGUACUAAGAUAGCAGUGGCACGCUUAGAUCCUUGUUAGUUUUGAUUGUGAGCCUCAAGGCCUACACCAAAGGCCCCACAAAGGCACCUUUCAAACUAACUACAAACUCUUCUUGCAGCACACCAAGCAGCAAGAACUUGCCCGACAACCAACAACAUGCCACCUCCUUAGGGAGCUCUGCGAGGGACUGGACCCAAAAAUCUUGCCUGAACACCCGGCACAGGUCCGAUCAAACACUGAAAUACUACAGCUUAUGACAUUCAUUAGUUUCACAGGAACUGACCAUUUUAAUUUUUUCAGUACAAGCAUAAACUUGAAACACUAAAGUAAUUAGAACCCAAACGGGACUUACUGUAAGAUCGUAAUCCUCUUACUCUAAAUCGGAUUAAUCGAAGCAAAUAAAUGUAAAUUGUUGAUGCACAAAAUCAGCGAGGACUUUGGUACAACAGAAAGUGUUAAGUUUGUGACCUUUGCUAGAUUGCUCCGGUCACUAGUGUGGAUAAAUAUGUAAAUGGAUAGAGACAGGGAAGCAAACACAAGAUGUACGUGGUUCACCCAGAUUGGCUACGUCCACGGAGUAGAUGAGUUCUCAUUAAUUGUGAAGGGUUUACACAAGUACAUAGGUUCAAACUCUCCUUUAGUGAGUACAAGUGAAUGAUUUAGUACAAAUGACAUUAGGAAAUAUUGUGGGAGAAUGAUCUCCUUUUAUAGAAGAGAGUUUGUAGCUUUGUUUUGACAUUGACACGUGUCGUGUUGUGAUUGGCUUCUGAUGUUGACACGUGUCGCGCUAUGAUUGGCUUCUGAUGUCGACACGUGUUGCGUUGUGGUUGGAGGGAAAUACUUCUGGGUCCUUGACGGUAUAACGUUGACCGGUGCUCAGUAGUUUCGGGAUUGGUCAAGUAUGGUACAAACAUAAAUAUUGCACAAAACUCAUACUCUACAAAUCUUAAGGGUUAUGAAAUAAUUUAGCCUCUAUUCUAAGACUAGAACAAUCGUGAACUUUGAAUAGAUGCACUUAAAUAUACAAAAUCCUGAUCAAACAAACGUUACUUCUCUUACCAUGCAUAGAGUUGUGUAACACACCAAAUCAUAACACAAGUGGUUUUUUCUUUCGAAAAGUCAAAACUGUUUAGCAGGAAAACCAUCUCGAAAAUAACCUACAAAUUAUCACACAUAGCGUAUAUCAAAUAUCAAGGCAUUUUAGAUAAACGCACAACAUUUAGAACAUUUUAUACUCGUCAUUAUACAAUAAAGUGCUUAUGAACCCAAAAACACUUUGACGAAAAACGCUUUCAGUAAUUUUAAAAAUGCUUCUAAAUGAGCAUAUUGGAAGAGGUUUAAAGCUCUUUUGGCUUUUGGAUAGUCAUAGCUAUGCGUCCUAAGCCAUAAUUUGUGUUAUGGCAUUAACCAAAAGAAAGGUUUUGUUUAGAUUGCUUUUGGAGUAUAGCACGCGACAAUUCUAAGCCGUAGAACGGUGAGUGUUAGAGCAAAACUAAUCUCCUUUCUAACAUGUGGAGUUUUGGAGGAACCGGACCCUAUCCGUUUUAAAUAGUAACAGGUCGGACUGGGCCGGGUAGAGAGAUUUUGAGUUUAGGAACCGGACCUAACUCGACCUGUUUGAAACGGGCCAGUUCGGGACGGGUCCACGGGUUCAAUUACUUUUUCUUUUUCUUUUUUUUCAGUUUUGGGCAUACUGCCAAACUGCCAGUGUCGUUUUUUCUUUCUCCUCUUCGCAUCAUCUUCAUUCUCUCUCUUUCUGUUUGCAACUUCGAUCGGCCUUAAUGCCGUCGCUUCACGAUUUGGGAACACGUCUCCACCUUUUCCCAAUCUUUGACUUUUUCACACUUACUUGUAUUUAGUUCGUCGGAUCUAAUGGUUUCUCAACUUGCAAGUGUUGGGAGGCGACGGAUCUACAAUAUUGUCAUCAUAUUGGACUUCAGACUUGGGAAAGAAGGAGAAGGAGUCGAUGAGGCUUUUCAAGUUGGGAACUGAAACGGCUGAUUAAAGAGGGUUGGGAAGAUGGGUUGAUUAAAGACCGUCAAUAGAGCUCGGUUUCCAUGCAAAUCUGAGUCAGACAGAGUUAGGCUUCCAUCCUUUCGAGUUCGACAGGUUUAUUAAAUACGGUUCAAGUCGGGGGCCCGUGUCUUCAAAAAAUUGGAUCCGCCUCGCCCCUCUGUUUACUUGAACCAGCCACGCCCCGUCCCGUUUUGUAUAUAAAAUAGUAUGGACCCGUCCCGUACCCAUCCCAAACCGCUAUUACCCGCGGGCCCAGGGCCCGUUUGCCUAGCCCUAAUUACAAAGUCAUCAUAAUUAAUCAUUGAGUCGCUAAACCAAUAAAUUUCUUUAGAAUUUGUAUAGCUGAAUUAGCUUUCAUAAGGUAGUUUAGAGAAACACUUGCAUACACUUGUUCGUAUACCCCUUCUUCAUACUGUUACCUUGCCCCAUUGUCUAAACGUUUGGUUUUUUUAUAUUUUCUUAUUAUCCUAUAAGGUUUUGAAUUAUCCUGUCCACUUGUUAUAAUUUUAUUGGUAGUUAUAACUGACAAGUAAGAAUUGAUGUUAAAAUGAUUAAUUCACCCUCGAAUUUAAUGGAAUAGGAGACAGAAUCUAACGGCAAUGAAUUAAUUAACUAAUUUCAAAUAAUUUAGAAGUUAAUUUACCAAAAAACUAUAUAAUUCGGUUAAUUUUAACUCAGUAAUAAUUCAAGUUAAACAACAAUUUAGCCGUUCAUAUAAAAUGCGGGUUUUCCAAAGAAAAAGAAAAGCUGUUCACCAUCUUUACAGAAAUUCAGUAAACUUGAAGUAGGUGCCGCAGUUUCAUCGAUCUGGGUUAAAUAAUUCCCCGUAUUCCUUGUCUCAUGGUAAGUUUUUUGGGUUUCAAUUUUCAUGCAUUCAACAGUAAAAUGCACCAAGUUUUUGUGUGGAUUGUGUUCUCCGUUUGUUGUUGGUUAUGGAAAGUUAGGGUUUUUGCACCUGCAAUCUUAUUCUUCCUUUGGAAUCUAGGCCACAGCCCAUAUAUAUAUAUAUAUAUAUAUAUAUAUAUAUAUAUAUAUAUAUAUAUAUAUAUAUAUAUAUAUAUAUAUCUUCUUGUGUUUUGUAUGACCAUAUGAAAUUUGGAAAUUAGUUGUGAGGGUUUGCUUACUAUGUCUCUCUGCACAAUCUGAAUCGCACAAGGUUGGAGUCUAAAUGUUCUUAACGCCGCUGAGCGCUGGCCAGUUUGUUAGAUUAAUGAAUUUUUUGUCUCAUUGAUUACUGGAAUAUCUCAGAUGGAAAGAGAACCGCCCAAGUCCCGUUUGAAAGUGUCAAUGGAGUUGGACAGAAUUAGCAACUUACCAAGUGACUUUAUAAACAAAAUUUUGUCAUAUUUGCCAAUUAGGGAAGCAGUUAGAACAAGUGUUUUAUCAAGCAAGUGGAGGAACAAAUCGGCUAUGCUUACUCAUCUUUUGUUUGAUGAUCGGUGCACCUCGGAUCAAAACCCUACAACCUUUGCAGGCAUUGUUGAUCAUGUACUCUUGGGUCACAUUGGCCCCAUUUACAGGUUCGCGAUCACUCAUUUCCGACCUCAAGUCGGUAGAGAUAUUGAUCGAUGGAUUCUUCAUCUGUCA
rnacentral:lncRNA from 1 species